CUCCUCUCUGUGUCCCAGCUGUCAUCUCUGCCAUCUUCGUUGGGCUCAUGAAUUUGAGACCGGAAGGACCCUGAUUUGAGCAAACAUGGCAGGUGGCAGCAACUGUAAUCAACACCCACUGAAGGUGUCUCUCCUUCUGCCUUCCCUGGAGGACCUCUACAUAGCGCAGAACGCCACCAUCAGUUGUUUGGUGAGCGGCAUGUAGACCCCAGCAGCCUGGAGGAGUCCUGGAACCGGGGUAGCGGGGGACCAUUGGCCGUGGUCUCCAGGGAUCCGGUGCUGCAGGAAGAUGGUACCUACAGUGCAACCAGCAUCCUUCGGGUGUGCGUGGAGGAGUGGCAGGCGGGGGAGUAGUUCACCUGCACCAUGAAACACCAAGACUUCCCAUCGGCCAUUGUCAAGACCAUCCUCAAGAUUCAAGAGAUGUCUUUCCGGGCCCCUUCUGUCUACGUCUCCCCUCCUCACGCUGAGGAACUGUCUCUCUGGGCAUCAGCCACCAUCACCUGCCUGGCCUCCGGGUUCCGGCCCAGAGACAUCUUGGUGACAUGGACCCAGCAGGACCGGCCCGUGCCCCAGGAAGCCUACACCAAUGUUAGCCCCGCGCAGGAGGCUGGGAAGGAGGAGCGCUACUUCAUCUACAGCCAGCUCAAUGUCUUGGCGUCCGAACGGGAGCGGGGGGACACCUACGCCUGUGUGGUGGGGCACGAGGGUCUGCCCAUGACCUUCAUCCACCGGAGCGUGGACAAAGCCCCCGAUAAACCCACCGCUGUCAAUGUCUCUGUGAUCCUGUCCGACACCAACGUCACUUGCUACUGA